ACGAACGCUGGCGGCGUGCUUAACACAUGCAAGUCGAACGGGCCUUGUCCCCUUUUUUUUGGGGGUGGGGUUAGUGGCGAACGGGUGAGUAACACGUGAGUAACCUGCCCCUCACUUCUGGAUAACCGCUUGAAAGGGUGGCUAAUACGGGGUGUUCUGGCCUGCUCGCAUGGGUGGGUUUGGAAAGAUUCGACCGGUUUUGGUUGUUUUGGUGGGGGAUGGGCUCGCGGCCUAUCAGCUUGUUGGUGGGGUGAUGGCCUGCCAAGGCUUUGACGGGUAGCCGGCCUGAGAGGGUGGGCGGUCACACUGGGACUGAGACACGGCCCAGACUCCUACGGGAGGCAGCAGUGGGGAAUAUUGCACAAUGGGCGCAAGCCUGAUGCAGCGACGCCGCGUGAGGGAUGGAGGCCUUCGGGUUGUGAACCUCUUUCGCCAGUGAAGAAGGUCCUGCUCUUUGUGGUGGGGUUGACGGUAGCUGGGUUAAUGAAGCGCCGGCUAACUACGUG
rnacentral:rRNA from 1 species